GCCCAGGUGGCGGAAUCGGUAGACGCGUUGGUCUCAAACACCAAUAUCUUCACGGAUGUGCCGGUUCGACUCCGGCCCUGGGUACCA
rnacentral:tRNA from 2 species